AUUUAAGAGAAGAUGAUUAAUCUUUUUGACCUUUUUUUUUCUCAUACAAGGGAAACUAAAUACGAAACAUUGGACGGACUACAUUUCUCAAAAAGGGAGGGAAAAGAAGCCUAAAAGUCUCUCAAUAAUCCUCCAACCGAUUAAAAUAAAAUAAAAAUAAAAAGCUUUAGAAUUUACAAGAAAAUAUACAGGCUAAGGAACACUAAAUGAGACUUUUAAGACUUCCAGUUCCUCCUAUUGCCUCUUCCCUGCAAGUUGAAGUUCUAGAUAGUGAGGGCAACUCCUUAAAAUUUGGGAUCCUUUCACAUUUCUUGCGGUGUGAGUUCAUACAUCUCAUGCACACAAAUAUUGGAGGAAUUUUAUCAGAAUUAUCAAUCCCAGCACACCUAGUAUGCUGCCAGACCCCACAGGCAUCACAAGCCAACAUUUUCUCUCCAUCAUCAUCCUUGGCCCCACACAAACAAUCAACUGUCCACCUCCCUGUUCCUCUUUCCAUUCUAAAUUGGCUAAUUGCAUGUCUUGAUGGGCAUGUCCCUUUAAUCUUGACUGAUCCACUUGUUCCAACAAGAAAUUUAACCGUAAUUGAAUCUUCUAAAGAUCCAUAUUCAACCAUUUCAUGAACUUCAAACCUCUUAAACAUCACAUAUACUUCUUCAAAAGCUUUAGCUGCUUCCUUCUUAAGAUCAGCUACAGUAGCAUUUAAAGGUAAGACUAUCAGUUCCGGAGGUAUGGCAGGGUCAUCUUUCAGUUGAUUUGAAACCUCUACAUGACACAAGAGAUGAAUGGCAAAUAAAUUAUUUAGCAUCAUUUUAUCAGGUCUGUAUUCCUUCAUAAAUUGUUUGCAGUCAAUAAGCUUGGUUGCUGCAUCAAUCACACUUUUUCUUGUCACUUGAGAUCCAUAGUUAAUUGCAGUUUCAGGAUCAAGCAAAGAAUCAAGUAAAAAUCUCAGAUCACCCUUGACAUCCUCUUUCAAUGGAUGGAUUUUGUCCAAUCCAUCUUCACAAGUAUUGGAACUAACCGUUGUGAGCCUGUAUUCAGCAUCACAUGAAUUAAGAUUGCAUUGGACCUGAACCACCAUGCUAUCAGCUGCCAACUUCCCCGCAAAGUGUUUAAGGGAAUAAUCAAGAAGCUCUGGAGAUGCUCUUUUAUACAUGACACCCUUAAGAGCACGCCUUGACACCCAAUUGUUCUCACCAGAUGCGGCCAACACCUUCAUCAUAGCUUCUUGAACACAUUCGACAUCAUGUCUAGUCCAUGCACACAAUAUAUUUGAAGUACUAGAUCCUAAAUUCUUUGGAGUUGUUUUAGGCAAUACUGGUUCAUUGCUUUCAUGGAUUAGCCUCAAUAAAAAGGAGCAAAGGUCCUUUAGGGUAAGAAGUUCUGAGUCUGACAAUGAUUGGUAAAAACCAAUAACAGCCUGCAAACGUGUUCGUGGCCUUCGCCUCUGAAACAAAAGCGGGACUAGGGGCAUAUUUGAGAGAGUUUCCACUGCUUUCUGGUAGGAAUCUGGUGUGAGCGCAUAGCUUCCGCUUUGAAAUUCAUAACCCCAAUUACCAUACCAUGAAUGGCCUUUGGUGAUUGCAUGCAGCAACCGAUACUCCAUCUCAUAUUUUCUUGACACAUCCAUCACUGAUACCUUCCUGACAGCAAGAGUAGCGCAGAGCCUAUCCCAGAAGUCCAUUAUAUGACAACCAGUAAGAAUAUUGGAACCACCUUCUCUGCCAUUGACCCUAAGAAGGUGGCCAAAGCCAUUGGAGUGAACAACACCGUGCAAUAGAUGAGUAUUAUCUUCAAAUUGGGAAAAAAUCCAAUCUUCAACGUGAUUAGCAGUAACUACAGAAUCACACCACUUGCACCUAGACUCUGAUACAUGCAUCGAAUUGCUGCAUUUCGAACACAAAUGUUGAUGUUCAUCUAUGCUGCCUUUUGUAGCUCGAAUUAUGAAAUGGUAUCGCUUCCUGCACACUGGAUGACCGCUCCAACCAACCACUCGGCACUGAUUGCAGUAGGGGGAUCUGGAACUUCCGGUGACGUCCUCUUCCACAAUAUCAAGAACCACCACCACCGGCGAAAGAUCCGGACCUUCCACCAGAUCUCCGACCCGAAACAUGAUCUGCCACGUCAGUAGACAUGGGAAAAGCGGAGGAGGGAAGGUGACCCGCGCGUGGCGGGACAGAAAGAGCUUUAUGGCUUCCCGGAACGGCUUCGCCAAGUCUUCAUCCAGCGAUGGUCCAUCAGGGAAGGUGAAGAAGUCGUAGAGAUUGGCGGUCACUCUGUUUCUCUUGGCUCUCUUUAGCGGCCUGUCGUUCACCACCAUGGUCUGUUGGAUUAAACGACGUCACGUUUUGGAAUUGUAAUUUGUACGUGUCGCGUUAGAUAUAUAAAUUUAGACAGUAAAGGAGAGAAGUAUGUCCUAAAUAGACGAGAAAUUUUGGACUCCAGGAUUUGGCAGUUCGUAGCUUUGCCUUUUAAAAUUUU
rnacentral:misc_RNA from 1 species